rnacentral:rRNA from 1 species
AUGCAAGUCGUACGCGAACGACCUUUCGGGGUUAAGUAGAGUGGCGAACGGGUUAGUAACGCGUGGGAACAUACACAGCACAGGGGGAUAACCAUUGGAAACGAUGGCUAAUACCGCAUACGCCCUAUUGGGGAAAGAUUUAUCGGUGUUGGAUUGGCCCGCGUUAGAUUAGCUAGUUGGUGGGGUAAUGGCUCACCAAGGCGACGAUUUAUAGCUGGUUUGAGAGGAUGAUCAGCAACACUGGAACUGAGACACGGUCCAGACUCCUACGGGAGGCAGCAGUCGGGAAUAUUGUGCAAUGGGGGCAACCCUGACACAGCCAUGCCGCGUGAGUGAAGAAGGCCUUAGGGUUGUAAAGCUCUUUCAGAUGUGAGGAUGAUGACGAUAGCAUCAGAAGAAGCUCCGGCUAACUUCGUGCCAGCAGCCGCGGUAAUACGAAGGGAGCUAGCGUUGUUCGGAAUUACUGGGCGUAAAGGGCGUGUAGGCGGAUUAUCAAGUUAGGGGUGAAAUCCCGGGGCUC